rnacentral:lncRNA from 1 species
GCCCCUGUCUAGAGGCCGCGGGGACGGGUAGCCUCUGCCCGCGCGCCUCCCCAAGCGCCCGGUUUUCCCGAGCUUCUUCACGGUGAGAAAUUGGAGCCUAGGUCUUGAAGCCUGGACACCGCUUCAAAAUGGAGAAAGUGUCUCCUUUAGUCCACGUGGUGCACAUGGUGCCUCAUGCAGCGGAGGAAACUGAAGAUUACGGCUUCCGACUCCAUUUUCCUAGUCGCUGUGCUCACGCCUCUUGCACCUGGCUUUGUCCUCCCGCCCUGAGUCUCCUGAUUAACAGGAUGGGAAAUCGAGGCAAGAAGAGACAAGGCGGCUUCUAAAAUACGGGGAUUCAGUCCUACACCAAAUGUCUCCCAGUGUGGAAUUUUUUAAAAAGAUAUUGAUCCAGUAGGCCAGGUGAGGUGGCUCACGCCUGUAAUCACAGCACUUUGGGAGGCCGAAGCGGGCGGAUCACCUGAGGUCGGGAGUUCGAGAUCAGCCUGACCAACAUGGAGAAACCCCGUCUCCACUAAAAAUACAAAAUUAGGU